GAGUAACGCGUGGAUAACCUGCCCUGGGGUCCGGAAUAGCUGCGGGAAACUGCAGGUAAUGCCGGAUAACAUCUUCGGAUCAAAGGUGUGAUUCCGCCCUGGGAGGGGUCCGCGUCCUAUUAGCUUGUUGGUGGGGUAACGGCCUACCAAGGCUACGAUGGGUACCGGGUGUGAGAGCAUGGCCCGGCUCACUGGGACUGAGACACUGCCCAGACCUACGGGUGGCUGCAGUCGAGAAUCUUCGGCAAUGGGCGCAAGCCUGACCGAGCGACGCCGCGUGCGGGAUGAAGGCCUUCGGGUUGUAAACCGCUGUCGGAGGGGAGGAAAUCAUAGGGGGCUAUCCCCUUAUGUUGACCUAUCCUUAGAGGAAGGACGGGCUAAGUUCGUGCCAGCAGCCGCGGUAAGACGAACCGUCCAAACGUUAUUCGGAAUUACUGGGCUUAAAGGGUGCGUAGGCGGCGCCGUAAGUCGGGUGUGAAAUCCCUCGGCUCAACCGAGGAACUGCGCCCGAUACUGCGGUGCUUGAGGGAGACAGAGGUAAGCGGAACUGAUGGUGGAGCGGU
rnacentral:rRNA from 1 species